CUUCUGCUGAUGAUAACUUUGUCCAGUUCUGCUACUGAAACUAAGAUGAUAUUACUCAAUCUGAAGAAG
rnacentral:snoRNA from 1 species